rnacentral:rRNA from 1 species
GAUCCUGGCUCAGGACGAACGCUGGCGGCGUGCCUAAUACAUGCAAGUAGAACGCUGAAGAGAGGAGCUUGCUCUUCUUGGAUGAGUUGCGAACGGGUGAGUAACGCGUAGGUAACCUGCCUUGUAGCGGGGGGAUAACUAUUGGAAACGAUAGCUAAUACCGCAUAACAAUGGAUGACACAUGUCAUUUAUUUGUAAAGGGGCGAAUUGUUCCACUACCAAGAAUGGACCUGCGUUGUAUUAG